rnacentral:lncRNA from 1 species
ACCUUCAGAUCGCUGGGCUCGCGAUAACAGAUAGUCAGAUACAAUCAAUCAAUCUUGAUUUUCAUGUCUGUUGUUUUCUGCCCGCUGUCGUUCUCCGCUGUGGACUGUACGUCUGCAUCGUCGAGCGAACUGGACAGCUGGCCUGAAACUCGGAGCCGCGACGACGACGCCCGCAUGGCACUCCGGCGACGGCGAUCACCGAGGAGGCGCUGCCGUAACAAACGGUAUAUGUAGAUCCCACUCGCAACAAAGAAGAACAGAAUACAGGUAGAUGGAAUUGGCAACGCACCUAGGUACUGUACCCCUCGUCGAUGUCGAAUCUGGACAACCUCCUGCUUGGUAUCGUACUCAAUCGCGGAUCGCAUCCACGAUGCGCCGCCACUCCGAUUGUUCUUCUCUGCCAUCCACGCCCUCCUCCGCCGCCAGCACCUGAUCCGGGUCGCCGUACAAGUGUCAUCGACGGCCUCUUCCUCCCCCAAAUCUCUUGUCGCCGUUGCACGCCGCCACGAUCCGCUGGAUCAGUCUAAGUCCUUUUUUUAGGGUCGGUAUAAAUCCUUAAUUUAAGGAAAAAUUAAAUCUAAAUCAUGUGCCUUGUCUUUUGAGUGGAAAAAAAAU